rnacentral:rRNA from 1 species
UACGGAGGGUGCAAGCGUUAUCCGGAUUUACUGGGUUUAAAGGGUGUGUAGGCGGACUAUUAAGUCAGUGGUGAAAUCCCGAGGCUCAACCUCGGAACUGCCUUUGAUACUAUUAGUCUUGAAUGUUGUUGAGGUGGGCGGAACGGGUCAUGUAGCGGUGAAAUGCAUAGAUAUGACCCGGAACACCGAUUGCGAAGGCAGCCCGCUAAGCAACUAUUGACGCUGAGGCACGAAAGCGUGGGGAUCAAACAGGAGUUA